rnacentral:rRNA from 1 species
UACGAAGGGGGCGAGCGUUGUUCGGAUUUACUGGGCGUAAAGGGCGCGCAGGCGGCUCAUUUUGUCAGGCGUGAAAGCCCCGGGCUUAACCUGGGAACUGCGUUUGAUACGGAUGGGCUAGAGUUCGGGAGAGGAGAGUGGAAUUCCCAGUGUAGAGGUGAAAUUCGUAGAUAUUGGGAAGAACACCGGUGGCGAAGGCGGCUCUCUGGACCGAGACUGACGCUGAGGCGCGAAAGCGUGGGGAGCAAACAGGG